UCGAGGAUCAUUCGCAAUGAGCGAAAGCUUGACGAUGCGACGCUGCGUGAGUGAUGAAGGCCUUCGGGUUGUAAAGCUCUUUCGCGCUGGAACAAGAGAGGGUGGUGAAUAGCCAUCUGAUUUGAGGGUACAGCGUAAAGAAGCACCGGCUAACUCCGUGCCAGCAGCUGCGGUAAUACGGAGGGUGCAAGCAUUAAUCGGAGUUAUUGGGCGUAAAGGGCGCGUAGGCGGAUAGAAAAGUCUGAUCUGAAAUACCGAGGCUCAACCUCGGUGCUGGAUUGGAAACUCUUUAUCUAGAGGGUUGGUGGAGAAAACGGAAUUCCAAGUGUAGCGGUGAAAUGCGUAGAUAUUUGGAAGAACACCUGUGGCGAAAGCGGUUUUCUAACUAACACCUGACGCUGAGGCGCGAGAGCAAGGGGAGCAAACAGG
rnacentral:rRNA from 1 species